GUUGUUGCGACGUUGUUAGUCGUUGUCAAGACAAGGUUGCAUGAAAUACAUCUACCCAUGCAUGCACCAUGGUGGCUGGUGACUGCACCGUCGUGGCUGGUGACCAGAUGCAGGAACCCGCUCGCCAACCUAGACGGCUGAGUUAGCCUCCCAAAGCUGUGCCAAUUUUUAUAAAAGUACUUCAGAAGGGCUUUGUCACCUUCAAGUGCUUCUUCCAAGUCCUGCAAGUGCUCUUGAUAUAUAUACGCUUCAAUGGAGCGACACCAGGUGCUGUUGGUCUACAUGACUUCGUGUGAGCUGAUGCCGACCUGAUUGCAUGCGAGGAGUUCUGCAAUGCUGCCAACAUCAGAAGUACAUGCCACAGUGGAAAAGCAAAAUCAGUUGAAUGAAGGACCUGAUUGUUCAUGAGGACUGCUUGCCUGCACUUGUCCAGAAGAUCACCAUCUUUUGUUUUACAAAACAAGGAAAACUUUUUUCUCACACCUUAUACCCCAGGGUGUAUUGCAGCAGGGUACAAAACGUUUUCUCCCAAUUAUGAACUGCAGACUGUGACGCAUUCUUAUGAAACCAUGCGAUAAAUAACCGGGCAGCGCCUGAUGCUACUUAACAUUGAAACCC